AGUGGGGAAUUUUGGACAAUGGGCGCAAGCCUGAUCCAGCCAUGCCGCGUGCAGGAUGAAGGCCUUCGGGUUGUAAACUGCUUUUGUACGGAACGAAAAAGCUCUCUCUAAUACAGGGGGUGAAUGACGGUACCGUAAGAAUAAGCACCGGCUAACUACGUGCCAGCAGCCGCGGUAAUACGUAGGGUGCAAGCGUUAAUCGGAAUUACUGGGCGUAAAGCGUGCGCAGGCGGUUAUGUAAGACAGAGGUGAAAUCCCCGGGCUCAACCUGGGAACUGCCUUUGUGACUGCAUAGCUGGAGUGCGGCAGAGGGGGAUGGAAUUCCGCGUGUAGCAGUGAAAUGCGUAGAUAUGCGGAGGAACACCGAUGGCGAAGGCAAUCCCCUGGGCCUGCACUGACGCUCAUGCACGAAAGCGUGGGGAGCAAA
rnacentral:rRNA from 1 species